AGUGAACGCUGGCGGUAGGCCUAACACAUGCAAGUCGAACGGCAGCACAGUAAAAGCUUGCUCUUACGGGUGGCGAGUGGCGGACGGGUGAGGAAUACAUCGGAAUCUACUUUUUCGUGGGGGAUAACGUAGGGAAACUUACGCUAAUACCGCAUACGACCUACGGGUGAAAGCAGGGGAUCUUCGGACCUUGCGCGAUUGAAUGAGCCGAUGUCGGAUUAGCUAGUUGGCGGGGUAAAGGCCCACAAAGGCGACGAUCCGUAGCUGGUCUGAGAGGAUGAUCAGCCACACUGGAACUGAGACACGGUCCAGACUCCUACGGGAGGCAGCAGUGGGGAAUAUUGGACAAUGGGCGCAAGCCUGAUCCAGCUAUACCGCGUGGGUGAAGAAGGCCUUCGGGUUGUAAAGCCCUUUUGUUGGGAAAGAAAAGCAGCAGGUUAAUACCCCGCUGUUCUGACGGUACCCAAAGAAUAAGCACCGGCUAACUUCGUG
rnacentral:rRNA from 1 species